UACGAAGGGUGCAAGCGUUGUCCGGAAUUAUUGGGCGUAAAGAGCUCGUAGGCGGUUUGUUGCGUCGGCUGUGAAAUCCCGAGGCUCAACCUCGGGUCUGCAGUCGAUACGAGCAAACUAGAGUGUUGCAGGGGAGACUGGAAUUCCUGGUGUAGCGGUGAAAUGCGCAGAUAUCAGGAGGAACACCGGUGGCGAAGGCGGCCUGCUGGGUUCUGGCUGACACUGAGGCGCGACAGCGUGGGGAGCAAACAGG
rnacentral:rRNA from 1 species